AGAAAGGUUCUUUUUAGAACCAUUGUCUAUUAAAGGUUCUAU
rfam:Salmo salar isolate Sally breed double haploid chromosome ssa21, whole genome shotgun sequence.